UACAUGGGGUGCAAACGUUGCUCGGAAUUAUUGGGCGUAAAGCGCGUGUAGGCGGCUUUGCAAGUCGGGUGUGAAAGCCCUCAGCUCAACUGAGGAAGUGCGCCCGAAACUGCAGAGCUUGAGUACCGGAGAGGAUGGCGGAAUUCCCCAAGUAGAGGUGAAAUUCGUAGAUAUGGGGAGGAACACCGGUGGCGAAGGCGGCCAUCUGGACGGAUACUGACGCUGAGACGCGAAAGCGUGGGUAGCAAACAGG
rnacentral:rRNA from 1 species